UCCUCGGUAGCUCAGCAGGUAGAGCAGUUGGCUGUUAACCAACGGGUCGCUGGUUCGAGUCCGGCCCGGGGAG
rnacentral:tRNA from 1 species